rnacentral:rRNA from 1 species
GUGGGGAAUAUUGGACAAUGGGCGAAAGCCUGAUCCAGCCAUGCCGCGUGUGUGAAGAAGGUCUUCGGAUUGUAAAGCACUUUAAGUUGGGAGGAAGGGCAGUAAGUUAAUACCUUGCUGUUUUGACGUUACCGACAGAAUAAGCACCGGCUAACUUCGUGCCAGCAGCCGCGGUAAUACGAAGGGUGCAAUCGUUAAUCGGAAUUACUGGGCGUAAAGCGCGCGUAGGUGGUUCAGUAAGUUGGAAGUGAAAACCCCGGGCUCAACCUGGGAACUGCUUUCAAAACUGCUGAGCUAGAGUACGGUAGAGGGUGGUGGAAUUUACUGUGUAGCGGUGAAAUGCGUAGAUAUAGGAAGGAACACCAGUGGCGAAGGCGACCACCUGGACUGAUACUGACACUGAGGUGCGAAAGCGUGGGGAGCAAACAGGAUUAGAUACCCUAGUAGUCC